AUUGAACGCUGGCGGCAGGCCUAACACAUGCAAGUCGAACGAGUGGCGGACGGGUGAGUAAUGUCUGGGACACUGCCCGAUGGAGGGGGAUAACUACUGGAAACGGUAGCUAAUACCGCAUACCAUCGGAUGUGCCCAGAUGGGAUUGGCUAGUAGGUGGGGUAACGGCUCACCUAGGCGACGAUCCCUCGCUGGUCUGAGAGGAUGACCAGCCACUCUGGAACUGUGAGACGGUCCAGACUCCUUCGGGGUGCAGCAGUGGGGAAUAUUGCACGAUGGGAGCAAGCCUGAUGCAGCCAUGCCGCGGGUAUGAAGAAGGCCUUCGGGUUGUAAAGUACUUUCAGCGAGGAGGCGUUACUCGAAGAAGAAGCACCGGCUAACUCCGUGCCAGCAGCCGCGGUAAUUC
rnacentral:rRNA from 1 species